UAUUGAAUUUCUCAGAAUUUAUGUCUGUUGUGAGGCACAAUCAAGCAUAUUACAUUUGUAAGACAUCACUAAACCAUCGGAUUAGCUGUGAUUCUGUAUAGGAAGGUAUGGUUUUGGGAAGGAUUUGAUCAGGAACACCAGUGGCACCAGCAGGAGACUUGUCUCCUCUA
rnacentral:lncRNA from 1 species